GGAGCUAUGGCUCAGUGGUAGAGCAUCUGCUUUGAAUGCAGAAGGUUCUGGGUUCAACCCCCAGCUUUUCCA